CCAGACUCUGUGUGCGCGCGCGCGCGUGAGCGAGCGUGAAACUUCCGCAAACUCUCCUCAGAGUCCGUCAGUCAUCAUGUCCAACAAUAACGCUAGCAGCAGCAGUGUGGCUGUGGCGCAGAAAGCCGUCAAACAGCUCAGACUAGAGGCCAAAAUACGACGAAUCAACGUUUCUCAAGCUGCCACAGACCUGAAGAACUUCUGCCUGCAGAACGCCCAUAAAGACCCGCUGCUGGUGGGCGUGCCGUCCAGCGACAACCCCUUCCGCCCGCCCAAGUCCUGCGGCCUCCUCUGAACGACUGCUGUCUGCUCACACAUAGGUUACCUACAGCCUUCUGUCCUUCUAAAGCACCAGCUGGUGAAGCGUUUCAGAUGAUGUGGCUGCCUUCAAGUGUCUGUUUCUACCUUUACACUACUCCAUAAAGACCUCCUGGAGCACUACACACACACAAACACUACUUAGCAUAGCAAAAAAAAAGAAAUAUUUCUACGGUGUUCAUUUUCUUCAUAUCGGCACAGUUGCUGUCUAUUUCUAUGAACUGUAUUAUGAGUAAUAAUAUGUUGACUCUGCUGAAUUAACACUGUAUGGUACAAUCAGCUGUAAAACCCAUAACACAUCCCAUGUUUUGAAAGCAAUUUUAUAUACCAAACACUAUUUUAAUAGUAAUGCGUAUUUUAUAAAACAAAAAGACUUCCUUGAAGAUUGUAUGAAGUUUUCCCUGGUUUAUGUGGAAGGAAUGAAAAAAUGAAACUAUUAGAGUAUUUUUCCUAUCAGAAAUUACAUGACCUUUUUUAAUUAUAGUCUUUUACUAAUUUAUGGCCAGCAGGAUUUGGUUUGAAGGUUGUUUGUAAACAUGCUUUUUGUCCUCAACAAUACACACGUUGGAUGUCUUCUUUAAUCUGACGCUUAUUUGAGGUGUUGGAGUCUCGACUAAUGAUCUGAUGAGUUGAAUCUAGUGUGUCUGUUGAGGAGGACAUACAAUAUGUGCAGUGUUGAGGAAACCCUGAUCACAUUCUGAAUGAACAGGUUACACUAAAACCUUUUUCUUAUUCUCGUUUCAUUGACUUUGCUAAACUUACUUUUAAAAUAAAGUGUUAUUGAUCAUUAA